rnacentral:rRNA from 1 species
AGCAGCCGCGGUAAUUCCAGCUCCAAUAGCGUAUAUUAAAGUUGCUGCAGUUAAAAAGCUCGUAGUUGGAUUUCUGGACUGAAGCAUUUAGCCGGCCGCGGUUUCGCGUGUUAGUGCUGGAUGCUCUGUCCAUCCUUCCAAUUGCUAUUGGCUAUUCUUCAUUGAAUGGUCCGUAGUGUUGGAUCUUUUACUUUGAAAAAAU